rnacentral:rRNA from 1 species
UCGUGGAUCAGAAUGGCACGGUGAAUACGUUCCCGGGGCUUGUACACACCGCCCGUCACACCAUGGGAGUGGGUUGCAAAAGAAGUAGGUAGCUUAACCUUCGGGAGGGCGCUUACCACUUUGUGAUUCAUGACUGGGGUGAAGUCGUAACAAGGUAACCGUAGGGGAACCUGCGGUUGGAUCACCUCCUUACCUUAAAGAAGC